rnacentral:rRNA from 1 species
GUUGGGCACUUUAAAGAGACUGCCGGUGUUAAACCGGAGGAAGGUGGGAUGACGUCAAGUCCUCAUGGCCUUUAUGCUUAGGGCUACACACGUGCUACAAUGGGUGGUACAAAGAGAAGCCAACUCGCGAGAGCGCGCCAAUCUCAAAAAGCCAUCCUCAGUUCGGAUUGGAGUCUGCAACUCGACUCCAUGAAGUUGGAAUCGCUAGUAAUCGCGGAUCAGCAUGCCGCGGUGAAUACGUUCCCGGGCCUU